rnacentral:rRNA from 1 species
GACGAACGCUGGCGGCGUGCUUAACACAUGCAAGUCGAACGGAAAGGCCCUGCUUUUGUGGGGUGCUCGAGUGGCGAACGGGUGAGUAACACGUGAGUAACCUGCCCUUUACUUUGGGAUAACUUCAGGAAACUGGGGCUAAUACCGGAUAGGAGCUCCUGCUGCAUGGUGGGGGUUGGAAAGUUUCGGCGGUUGGGGAUGGACUCGCGGCUUAUCAGCUUGUUGGUGGGGUAGUGGCUUACCAAGGCUUUGACGGGUAGCCGGCCUGAGAGGGUGACCGGCCACAUUGGGACUGAGAUACGGCCCAGACUCCUACGGGAGGCAGCAGUGGGGAAUAUUGCACAAUGGGCGGAAGCCUGAUGCAGCAACGCCGCGUGAGGGAUGACGGCCUUCGGGUUGUAAACCGCUUUCGCCUGUGACGAAGCGUGAGUGACGGUAAUGGGUAAAGAAGCACCGGCUAACUACGUG